AUGGCCGCCGAAUACGACCGCACGGCCGACCUCCGCGCGCUGGACGCCACCUGCUCCGGCGUCCGCGGCCUCGUCGCCUCCGGCGUCACACACCUCCCCCGCAUCUUCCGCGUGUCCGACGGCGUCCACCAACCACAACCACCGCCACCGCAAGUUCCAUCCCAAGAACUGCCGUCCUCGUCAGCGCCGUCCGUCCCGGUGAUCGACCUCAGCGGCUCUGACCACGCGGCCGUGGUCGCGGCCGUCCGCCGGGCCGCGGCGGAGUGGGGGUUCUUCCAGGUGACAGAGCACGGGGUGCCGGAGGCGGCGAUGGCAGCGGCGACGGACGCGGUGCGGGGCUUCCACGAGGCCGACGGCGGCGAGGGCAGCGACAAGGCCAGGCUCUACUCGCGCGAGCCGGCGAGGGCGGUCAAGUACCACUGCAACUUCGACCUGUACCAGUCGCCGGUGGCCAACUGGCGCGACACGCUCUACCUCCGCAUGGCCCCCGACCCGCCCGACGCCGGCGACCUGCCGGACAGCUGCCGCAAUGCUCUGUUUGAAUACGCCGAACAAGUGAAGAAUUUGGGGAGCACUUUAUUCAAGCUGCUCUCAGAAGCUCUUGGGCUCAAACCAAGCUACCUGACUGAUAUAGAGUGCAACCAAGGACAGAUCAUACUCUGCCACUAUUAUCCUCCUUGCCCACAGCCUGAACUCGCCAUCGGGACAAGCAGGCAUUCAGACUCUGGCUUCCUCACCAUACUUCUCCAAGACGAAAUCGGCGGCCUCCAGAUCCUACACGAGGACCGGUGGGUAGACGUCACGCCGACACCUGGAGCGUUCAUUGUCAACAUCGGCGAUCUCCUACAGUUGAUCUCCAAUGACGGGUUCAGGAGCGUGGAGCAUAGGGUGGUGGCCAAGAACGCCGCGCCGAGGGUCUCGAUCGCGUGCUUCUUCAGCACGCAUUUCCACCCUGCCUCUACGAGAAUGUACGGGCCGAUCAAGGAGCUGCUGUCUGACGAGAACCCGCCGUUGUACAGGGAGACCCUCGUCAGAGACUACAUCAAACAUUACUACUCCAUCGGGUUAGAUGCGAAAACUGCUAUCUCUGAUUUCCGGUUGUGA
rnacentral:rRNA from 1 species